CACGUAGGGCGCGAGCGUUGUCCGGAAUUAUUGGGCGUAAAGAGCUCGUAGGCGGCCUGUUGCGUCCGCUGUGAAAAGCCCCGGGGCUUAACCCCGGGUCGGCAGUGGAUACGGGCAGGCUAGAGGUAGGUAGGGGAGAAUGGAAUUCCCGGUGUAGCGGUGAAAUGCGCAGAUAUCGGGAGGAACACCGGUGGCGAAGGCGGUUCUCUGGGCCGUAACUGACGCUGAGGAGCGAAAGCGUGGGGAGCGAACAGG
rnacentral:rRNA from 1 species